CUCGAAAGCAUGGGUAGCGAACAGGAUUAGAUACCCUGGUAGUCCAUGCCGUAAACGAUGAAUGCUAGGUGUUGGAGGGUUUCCGCCCUUCAGUGCCGCAGCUAACGCAUUAAGCAUUCCGCCUGGGGAGUACGACCGCAAGGUUGAAACUCAAAGGAAUUGACGGGGGCCCGCACAAGCGGUGGAGCAUGUGGUUUAAUUCGAAGCAACGCGAAGAACCUUACCAGGUCUUGACAUCUUUUGAUCACCUGAGAGAUCAGGUUUCCCCUUCGGGGGCAAAAUGACAGGUGGUGCAUGGUUGUCGUCAGCUCGUGUCGUGAGAUGUUGGGUUAAGUCCCGCAACGAGCGCAACCCUUAUGACUAGUUGCCAGCAUUUAGUUGGGCACUCUAGUAAGACUGCCGGUGACAAACCGGAGGAAGGUGGGGAUGACGUCAAAUCAUCAUGCCCCUUAUGACCUGGGCUACACACGUGCUACAAUGGAUGGUACAACGAGUUGCGAGACCGCGAGGUCAAGCUAAUCUCUUAAAGCCAUUCUCAGUUCGGACUGUAGGCUGCAACUCGCCUACACGAAGUCGGAAUCGCU
rnacentral:rRNA from 2 species